rnacentral:rRNA from 1 species
CAGUCGCCGCGGUAACACGAAGGGUGCAAGCGUUAAUCGGAAUUACUGGGCGUAAAGCGUGCGUAGGUGGUGGUUUAAGUCCGUUGUGAAAGCCCUGGGCUCAACCUGGGAAUUGCAGUGGAUACUGGGCCACUAGAGUGUGGUAGAGGAUAGUGGAAUUUCCGGUGUAGCAGUGAAAUGCGUAGAGAUCGGAAGGAACAUCUGUGGCGAAGGCGACUAUCUGGGCCAACACUGACACUGAGGCACGAAAGCGUGGGGAGCAAACAGGAUUAGAUACCCCAGUAGUCCCUGUCUCUUAUAA